UUUACCUUAACAAAUAUUGGUUGAUUUUUAUCAAUAUUUUUUAAAGAUGAAUAAAAGGAAAUGAAUUCGAAAAAAGACAAAAAUGUAAGUGCUAUUAUAAAGCCGAAGAUCUCAUCGAUUCAGUUUAUUUUGUUUUAUUACUUUUAAAUUUAAUUCUAGUAUACCGCCUAGUUUAUUCGUACGACAACGGUAAUACCAUUAAAAUAUUGCAUUCUUCAAUUUGUGUAUUUUGAAUACGUAAACUUAUGCUACUUUUUACUAUAUUUCUACUUAUUUCUCGUUUAUAUGCAAUGACUAUGACCCUUUGCAAAUUAUUUUUAGAAUUUACUUUAUUUCUAGAACCAAUCUUCACGACGUCGCGUUGUGGCCGACCAGUCAUGAUAGUCGGCCGACAUCGGUUUAACCAAUACAAUGUAAUCGGGCUCAGGGGCAGAUGGGUUUGCGUGAAGCAGACAAGUCGUCGCUGCCGCGCCUCGAUUCGCACUUACGACAAUCAAAUUAUAAACUACAAUGACUGCCACUCACAUGACGGAUAAAGAAGGCAAUCUUCACGCUAUCCCAGCGCGGCAAGCCAGUAGUACUCCUGGACGGACAGCGGUACAACCUCAACUACUCGUCGUGCGACAAGCUGAAGAGGACCUGGGUUUGUGCAAAGCAACAUUCGCAUGGAUGUCAGUCCUCGAUUAAUACCCACGGCGACAUUAUUAUACGGAUAAGAUAUGGACAUCGACAUUAAUCUGCUUAUUAUUAUAUCUGCCGAAAGAUGUAGAUACGAUGUAGGUACGAUUAGCGUGUUAAAAUUCGCUUAAGUAAUUCCAUUAUAUUGUGGGAGCCUUCUUUCCAAAGAGCAGUGACGUAUUAAACAUUAUAAGGAUAUACUUAAAAAAUAAAAAUACAAGGAAAUAUUAAACGUAUUGGUAAAUUUACCAAAAUGCUUUAUUAUUUAAAACAUUACCUACCUGUAAAGGUAUGCCUUUGUAUUUCAUAGAUUUAGUUAUGUAUUUGGGAACAAUAAAGUUAAAGUUUGUCGUGUAAUUAUGUAUUACUAUUUCGUUAAGAUACUUUGUACCUGAAAUACAUAAUGUAUAGUUUAUUUAUUGUAUGUAAGUUUAUGGUCGUAUGUAAUUACUUUGAUAAUUUUCACAUUUAAUAUCCAUUUAUUAGAAAUAAUAUAAAAGAAAAAUAAGGAAGAAUCGUGUAACAUAUCGGUAUUUAUUUAUAAUCCUCCCCUCUAAUAUUUAUUUAUUUGUUACCCUUCACCUAUCCCUAGAACUAUGUGUUAUAUUUCAGCCCUACAGCCCCUACAAAUAUUUAAGCAGAUUGACUUAAGUAGAAAUUGAUUGGGAUUGAAGACGGUUUUCUUAAUAACCAUAAAGAUACAAGUUAAAACCCGGCUAGGUGAGGCGACUGCAGACGCAUCACGACUGGUUUCUAUGUAUUUUUAUGAAAUACCAUUCGAACUUAGCGACACCAAAGCAAGCGACACGAAGCCAGCUACACGCAGAGCAGUAGAACCGCUAACGUCACGAAGUUAUAGAUAAGGCGCCGCGAUAUGCAGUCGGCUUCGAAACUAACACAGCGACAUGAAGUCUGCAGUUGUCGUCUGCGGUCGCGACACGUCACCCGGUUUCAAUGUGUACCUUAAGUUUAGUGCCCUGAGUAUGUAUAUAUCCAAUUUUGAAUACUUAUUAAUGAAAAAAUAUUUCCCAGGUCCUAUUAUAUUCACGCAAUCUAAAUACGGAAAGCCUGCGAUCAUAUACCAACAGCACCGAUUCAACAGGGACUACCGGAGCACAGGGCCGAAAAUUGUUUGGAGAUGCAGGAAAACACGGGAGUGCAAGGCCAGGAUAAUAACCAUCAACAACAGUAUCGUUUCUGUCUACAAUGAACAUUUGCACUAUGUAUACAAUGAUCAAAUUACAAAGAAACAAAUAUAAGCCAGCGAUCAUGUACCAACAGCACCGAUUCAACAAGGACUACCGGAGUACAGGGCUGAAAAUUGUUUGGAGAUGCAGGAAAACACGGGAGUGCAAGGCCAGGAUAAUAACCAUCAACAACAGUAUCGUUUCUGUCUACAAUGAACAUUUGCACUAUGUAUACAAUGAAAAAAUUACAAAGAAUCAAAUAUAAGCCAGCGAUCAUAUACCAACAGCACCGAUUCAACAAGGACUACCGGAUUACAGGGCCAAAAAUUGUUUGGAGAUGCAGGAAAACGCGGGAGUGCAAGGCCAGGAUAAUAACCAUCAACAACAGUAUCGUUUCUAUCUACAAUGAACAUUUUCACUAUUUAUACAAUGAUCAAAUUACAAAGAAACUAAUAUAAGCCAGCGAUCAUAUGCCAACAGCACCGAUUUAACAAGGAUUAUCGAAGCACAGGGCCAAAAAUUGUUUAGAGAUGCAGGAGAACGCGGGAGUGCAAGGCCAGGAUAAUGACCAUCAACAACAGUAUCGUUUCUGACUACAAUGAACAUUUGCACUACGUAUUAUAUUAUGAUAAAAUAAUAAAGAAACAAAUACAUGCCGAUGAUUAUAUACACAUCGCACCGAUUGAACAAGGAAUACUGGAUCAUAUGAAAAUCACAGUACAAUCGACCUAAAAAAUGUCACAUUGGAAUAAAAAAUAGUACAGAUAAAGGGAGCGGAACCAUGAUUUAAAAUUGUACUAGUCGCGAUCUUUUAUUUACGUGUAUAAUUUAUAUAUCUAAAUGUAAAAAUAUAUGUUAUUUGGAUUGACAUAUAUGAUCGUCACUUAUUAUCCAAUGUAUACAAAGUAGCAGUCAUUCACGCAUGUACAACUCAUACCCUUUGCAUUAAACGACACGUUAAAUAA